UACGUAGGGGGCAAGCGUUGUCCGGAAUUAUUGGGCGUAAAGCGCGCGUAGGCGGCCCGAUAAGUCGGCUGUGAAAGUCAGGGGCUCAACCCUUGGAAGCCGGCCGAUACUGUCGGACUAGAGUCCGGAAGAGGCAAGUGGAAUUCCCGGUGUAGCGGUGAAAUGCGUAGAUAUUCGCAAGAACACCAGUGGCGAAGGCGGCUCACUGGCCCGGUACUGACGCUGAGGUGCGAAAGCGUGGGGAGCAAACAGG
rnacentral:rRNA from 1 species